UACGUAGGGUGCGAGCGUUAAUCGGAAUUACUGGGCGUAAAGCGUGCGCAGGCGGUUCGUUAAGUUCGUUGUGAAAGCCCCGGGCUCAACCUGGGAACUGCAAUGGAAACUGGCGGGCUUGAGUGUGGCAGAGGGGGUGGAAUUCCGCGUGUAGCAGUGAAAUGCGUAGAGAUGUGGAGGAACACCGAUGGCGAAGGCAGCCCCCUGGGUUAACACUGACGCUCAGGCACGAAAGCGUGGGGAGCGAACAGG
rnacentral:rRNA from 1 species